UACGAAGGGGGCUAGCGUUGCUCGGAAUCACUGGGCGUAAAGGGUGCGUAGGCGGGUCUUUAAGUCAGGGGUGAAAUCCUGGAGCUCAACUCCAGAACUGCCUUUGAUACUGAAGAUCUUGAGUUCGGGAGAGGUGAGUGGAACUGCGAGUGUAGAGGUGAAAUUCGUAGAUAUUCGCAAGAACACCAGUGGCGAAGGCGGCUCACUGGCCCGAUACUGACGCUGAGGCACGAAAGCGUGGGGAGCAAGCCGG
rnacentral:rRNA from 1 species